GACUGACAGUUUCUUAGAUGGAACGAGCAGCGUCUACCUUGAGGAGCUUCAGCGAGCCUGGGAGCAAGACCCAAAUAGUGUUGACGAGUCAUGGGAUAACUUCUUUAGGAAUUUUGUUGGACAAGCUGCCACUUCGCCUGGGAUUUCUGGUCAGACGAUCCAAGAGAGUAUGCGUCUUCUGUUGCUUGUGAGAGCUUAUCAGGUCAAUGGUCACAUGAAAUACGUCGCCCGGGAUUUCUGGUCAGACGAUCCAAGAGAGUAUGCGUCUUCUGUUGCUCGUGAGAGCUUAUCAGGUCAAUGGUCACAUGAAAGCUAAAUUGGAUCCAUUAGGUUUGGAAGAGAGGGAAAUUCCUGAUGAUUUGGAU
rnacentral:lncRNA from 1 species